rnacentral:rRNA from 1 species
UACGGAGGGGGCUAGCGUUGUUCGGAAUUACUGGGCGUAAAGCGCGCGUAGGCGGACCUGCAAGUCGGGGGUGAAAGCCCGAGGCUCAACCUCGGAACUGCCUUCGAUACUGCGGGUCUCGAGUCCGGGAGAGGUGAGUGGAAUUCCUAGUGUAGAGGUGAAAUUCGUAGAUAUUAGGAAGAACACCAGUGGGGAAGGCGGCUCACCGGCCCGGUACUGACGCUGAGGCGCGAAAGCGUGGGGAGCAAACAGG